rnacentral:rRNA from 1 species
GACGAACGCUGGCGGCGUGCUUAACACAUGCAAGUCGAACGGAAAGGCCCCAGCUUGCUGGGGUACUCGAGUGGCGAACGGGUGAGUAACAAGUGGGUGAUCUGCCCUGCACUCUGGGAUAAGCCUGGGAAACUGGGUCUAAUACCGGAUAGGACCGUGCUUUAGUGUGUGCGGUGGAAAGUUUUUCGGUGCAGGAUGAGCCCGCGGCCUAUCAGCUUGUUGGUGGGGUAAUGGCCUACCAAGGCGGCGACGGGUAGCCGGCCUGAGAGGGUGUACGGCCACAUUGGGACUGAGACACGGCCCAGACUCCUACGGGAGGCAGCAGUGGGGAAUAUUGCACAAUGGGCGCAAGCCUGAUGCAGCGACGCCGCGUGGGGGAUGACGGCCUUCGGGUUGUAAACCCCUUUCGGCAGGGACGAAGCUUUUGUGACGGUACCUGCAUAAGAAGCACCGGCUAACUACGUG